rnacentral:rRNA from 1 species
AGUAAUGUAUGGGGAUCUGCCCGAUAGAGGGGGAUAACUACUGGAAACGGUGGCUAAUACCGCAUAAUGUCUACGGACCAAAGCAGGGGCUCUUCGGACCUUGCACUAUCGGAUGAACCCAUACGGGAUUAGCUAGUAGGUGGGGUAAAGGCUCACCUAGGCGACGAUCUCUAGCUGGUCUGAGAGGAUGAUCAGCCACACUGGGACUGAGACACGGCCCAG